rnacentral:lncRNA from 1 species
UGCUACUGUUUUUGUUAAAUAAUUACUUGCUGGCUAAAUGAACUAAUGAUGUGGUGAGAGCUGAAGGCUUGUCUGUUCUUGAGGUGUUUGUUUAUUGUCUUCAGUUUCCACAUAUUGGAUUGACCUGUGCUGCUUCUAUACCAGCCUGAGAUGGAUUACACUGGUGUAUCUGCCCAGACUAGCCCAGGAUCCUGGUUCCUGUCUUGGAAAGUGAAAGAUGCAAGGAGUCCCUGGGAAGAGGCAUUUCAUUAAGGAUGGACAUGGGGUCAUGAUGAAGAAGAGGGCCAGAAGAAGUCAUAGCAAGGGCAUCUCCCACCGAUGGAACAAGAACCAAGAGAUGAAGCACAUCAAAAACAAAGGCAGAAAUGGAGAAACAGAUUCCUGACAGAUCUUGUUACGUGUUUUGCUGCUUUUCUGUUUGAACAAAGUCGUGAUGAGCCUCUCGAGUCUGAGAGGAACCAGGAAAGGAAAAUGGGAGUGUGCAGCUGCCUCAAGGAGGAGGCCAGAUGAGGACGGGCAGGAG